rfam:Neotoma lepida isolate 417 scaffold_20541, whole genome shotgun sequence.
UUACUUACCAAGCACAGGAGAUACCAUGAGCAGGAGGGAAUUUUUUCCAGGGAAAGGUUUAUCUAUUGGACUGCAAAUGUGCUUUUCCCUCUAUUUCCCUCAAAUGUAGGAAAUUUGAACUGGUAAUUUGUGGUGGUGGGGAACUGUGUUCAUGCUCUCCUCUG